GUGCUGUGGACUAUGCACUUGAGAAGCUGCCACUGGAAGAGCCACUGAUCAAACAUGCAACAUUUGUAGAUGUAUGGCAGAGGGCUGAAAGUGACAUCAACGAUGUCCUGUUCUUUGUUGAAAGGUUUCCCCAUCUCCUCCCACACCAUGGGCCAGAGGAGCAUGACCUUCUGGGUGAGGAGUUUCUAAAUGAUCAGACCAUGCAAAUGAAAUCCCUGCAGGAUGAAACUGAAGUGGAAAGCUUCUAGGGUGAAAUGGCAAACAGGAAACAUAAGGUGACAGGAAUUUGAGAGGCUUGCUGCCGUCACCAAGCUCGUCCGGGUGUUGCCCCAUGCAAACGCAGACGCUGAGAGGGACUGAACAAAACCAAGAGAAGAAACAGCCUAUCAUUGGAUGGCACCCUGUCCUCAAUAAUGACCAUAAAGAUGGCCAGUCUGGAGCCCCCCUCCGAGAUCAUCAAGGCCCCCAAGAAGGCCUGAGGCCAGUAUAACCAUGCCCACAGAUCAUAGACAAGGACUUUAACCAGCUUCUGAUCUGCAUCUGAUACUGAUUAUGCCUCACUUUGUUGUCAUUUUUGUAAUGCAUUCAUC